rnacentral:rRNA from 1 species
UACGAGGGGGGCUAGUGUUGUUCGGAAUCACUGGGCGUAAAGGGAGCGUAGGCGGGCGUUUAAGUUAGGUGUUUAAUCCCGGGGCCCAACCCCGGACCGGCACCUAAAACUGGACGUCUUGAAUAGUGGAGAGGUCGGUGGAAUUGGAGGUGUAGCGGUGGAAUGCGUAGAUAUCUGCAGGAACACCCGUGGCGAAAGCGGCGCGCUGGACCACUACUGACGCUGAGGAACGAAAGCUAGGGGAGCAAACAGG